CUUCUGUCUUCUUUUUGCCUUCUUCCUCCGCUGCCGCCUCUUCCGUUCCUCUUCGAUGGCAUUCGCAGCCAUCGACGGAACGGAGAAGCGUUGCUGCAACCCUUGCAGUCCUUCCUGGUAGCUGUGGAGGGGUCUGACAAUAUGAUUUGGUGGUUUUAAGUUGGCGCUGAUCGACCGAGCAGCAGGGGUUGCUUGGUAGAUCAAAUUGGAGCACUAUAGGGUGAGGCUUGAACCAGGAUUGGAGAUGCUACAGUGGUGGCUUUGGUCUCUUUGCUCUUGUUAAGGUGGCAGUGAAGCCCGGGUACUGUUGAUGAUGUGGGGGCAUUCCAGUGAAGAGCAGCCAAGAUGAAAGAGCUGAAACAAUGACAGAGGCCAACUAUGUGUGAGAAAGGGCAAGUUUUCCAUUCCACCCUUGAAGUUUAUACAAGAUGAGAAGCUUGCUCUUUUGUCUCAGCUUGUUGUCUUGGAAGGUCUUCUUGAUGAAGUGAACCUCCCACUAGGACAAAUUUGUCGCAUGAUUUGGUAUUCUCUUGAGAUCUAUCAUCUGGAACUUGCAAUUUUGGACAAUUGAUAGAGCUGAGACUGACGUCUGGAAUGUGUGUACUCCAUUAAUUAUCGUUCGAUUGCCAGAGUGGAAUAUGGUGAUGGUGCUUGGAAGUUUAUAUACAAUAUGAAGUGUCUCUCAUCAGAUUCAUCGUUGUCCUCCAUGUAUAGGAAAGAAUUAUUGGAGCACUUGAAACUUCCGAUGACCGACUGAUUUGUUUUCUUCCCUCAUGUUAAAGCUAAUGACCAGUCAAGAUGAUUUCCUUCCUGUUUCUUCAACUCGAGAAUUAUUUUCCCCAACAAAUUGAUUUGCAACUCAAAUGUGGGGACUAAGGCCUUCUCCUGGUCUGCUGUUUGCGACCGCCGAAUUUUCUAUGCGUAACAUGGGCUGUGAAACUUCCUUUGUCCUUAGAGAAUCAAGGAAUGCUACAGGCCGCGGAUGUGUGAAUUUUGUGGCCAUCGCCAUGGCUUGAUUAUUCCAUAAAUGACCUCUAUUUGGGUGAGACUGACUUGUAUUAGACUCGGUAAUGACAAGAAUCCUUUAUUUCUUCGUCUACAAGCAAACGAUUCUAUUAUCUUUGGUCACCGAUGUACAUGACAGUGUAUGGUUGGUUUCAUUAUUAUGCUUCAAAAUUGUUGAACUUGAUUUA